rnacentral:rRNA from 1 species
UACGGGGGGAGCAAGCGUUGUUCGGAUUUACUGGGCGUAAAGGGCGCGUAGGCGGCCACGACAAGUCAGUUGUGAAAUCUCUGGGCUUAACUCAGAACGGUCAACUGAUACUGUCGGGCUAGAGUGCAGAAGGGGCAACUGGAAUUCUCGGUGUAGCGGUGAAAUGCGUAGAUAUCGAGAGGAACACCUGCGGCGAAGGCAGCUCUCUGGGACGGUACUGACGCUGAGACGCGAAAGCGUGGGGAGCGAACAGG